rnacentral:rRNA from 1 species
UGGGGAAUUUUCCGCAAUGGGCGAAAGCCCUGACGGAGCAAUGCCGCGUGGAGGUGGAAGGCCUACGGGUCGUCAACUUCUUUUCUCGGAGAAGAAACAAUGACGGUAUCUGAGGAAUAAGCAUCGGCUAACUCUGUGUCAG